AGGAGAAAAGGUGUUUUUGCAGUUUGCAGCUCCAGAUGCUGUAUGACCUUCUGUUGUUUCUCCAUGAUUUCAGCAUUUGUGGAUAGAAAGGAAAAUAGAACGUGCAGCCUGCAACAAACCUCCCACCCUGGCUAAAAGAGUUCUGCCACUGCACUGUUUCUCAUUGAGAAUGCUGACCAUUAGUCAUCAUCAAUAUGUAUCUGGAAAACAGUAAGGGAAAUAAAUAGGAGGCAUUACUUUUGGAGAGACCUACAUGAAAGCACACAAGUGUGAUCUGCAUAGAAACACUUCUGAGCAAAGCAAGAUGAAUUCAAGGGACGUAGAGAGCAAUGAGCAUCCAGCUUAUUCCAAACUCCAGCAGAUUGAGAAGCUGAACUGAGGACUCCUCACUUCUAAGACUGAAGUAGAAAAUAAUAUUUAUGGAAUAAAACAAUAUUUUUGCCUC
rnacentral:lncRNA from 7 species